GGUAGUGGGGCUGCUGCUCCCCCUCUCCCUGUGCUGUGACCACCCCAGCCCUCCCCCACUGCCCUGGCCUCGAGCCCCGGGAGCCUGGUGGUCGCCCUGGCAUCUCUGAGACUCCGGGAGAAAAGCCCUGGACGAUGUCACCGUGACUCACCAGCUGUGGAGCUGGGACCUGUGGCCUAGGUUUCUUGAGGACGGAGCCCAGAACAGAUCAUCAGGAUACAGAGGGUAUAGGGCCGGACUCCCUCACCUGAGACCAGGAGCUCCAGGGGGUCACUGGAAAGUGACCACAUCCGGGGGGUGUUGCUGUAAUAGCCAUAGCAUCUGAACAUCCACCUGAGCCUGGGGGUCACGGGGCCCACAGGGAACAGGGCCUGGAACUGCCCAUCGGUGUGUCUCUGGGAGUCCAGGGUCAAGAAGGGCCUGGGUUCUCCUUCCUUCAUCAGGACGAACUUGUCAAAUCCCAUCCGUGAGCCACACUGGAGGGUCACCUUCCCUCCUGAGGUCACAUUAGGGCUGGGCACGGCUGAGAGACUGGGUUUGAUAUGGUAUCCUGGAGAGGAGGAGGGGGGUUAAGUGGGGCUCAGAUCCCCCCACAGUAUCCCCAGGGCUGGGCUGUGAGAAGGGGACACUCAGAGAGCCAGAUCCCCUCCCUGAGGGCAGAGCCUGGGGCUGGGACCCUGAGGGGCUCGCACCUGUCACCACCAGCUCCAGGGGGUCACUGUGCUCUGACAAGCCAGAGGGACUUUGAUAGUAACAGCGAUACCGUCCUGCAUAUGCCUCUGUCAUGUAUAUGAUGGAGAACUUGACCUUGUUCCCAGGCUCCAGUGUGGGCUGUCUGUCCCAGGUCACUGAUUGUCCGUCUCUAUCCAGAUAGAACUCCUGAGCCUCCAGGGUCCCCCGACACCAGAUGGUCACAGUGCCACCCCAGGGAACCACAGAGCCUGGCUCAGCCCAGAUGGAGGGUGUGCGGAGGGUCCCUGGAGGCAAACAGAGGCUGGAUCACAAGCUCCUCCCCACCCCCGGUUCCCAGCUCAGCCCCAAGCCCCCAGAUGUCCCCUCUCCAUCCUCCCAGAACUCCAUCUCCAUCUUCCUGGUGGGCGAUCCCUGUCUCCAGUGAGGAGGUGGGGCGGGACCCCUGGGGAUACACUCACCUGCCUGUGCUCGGGUCCUGGGGCCCACACUCAGCCCUGCAAGAGAGUCCCUGUGAGAGGUUUGCCCUGAAUCCUGAGCAGAACCCCCUUUCCCAUGAGCUUCCUGUGCCUGGGGCCUCUGACAGCCCAGGGCCUGGCUGGGACACAGGUCCUUCCCAGCCUAGUGUGUCCCCUCCCCUCCUGAGGUCUCACCGAGGAGGAGCAGGGCCGUGAGGGUGAGGGUCAUGGUGUCUCUGCCUCUGACCCGGGCUGUGCUCAGGGAGGGACCUCGGUGCCCGCAGGACAGACAGAAGCACAGGGUGUGGUCACUCGGAAGCUGGUUCUUCUGGUCACGGGGAUGUCACAUCAGCCCCACAGGAAGGGGAACAGCCCGUCCCCAGGGGGCUGGCUCUGGUGUCCAUGGCGGUGCAGCAAGUGGACUCAAGGCUUCCUGAGAAGCCUGGUCCAGGCUGAGGUCGCUGUGACAAUGCGCACAGAGGAGAAGGAAGGAAACAGGAGUUCACUCCUGGCCACAGAUUUGCGUUUUCGUUCUAUGUCAACAUUAAUGGACUUCUCUUUUUCCCUGUGACAGUGGCCAUGCCCCCACCCCUGGGAGCACGCCCCUCAGACUCAGUGCCCCUUGUGUCUCGGGCAGAGCCCUCCUCCUCAUUCUGGGAGCCUGCCUGUAAGCGUUAGGAGACAAUGCCUAGAUUAAAUCCCUGAUUUGUU